rnacentral:rRNA from 1 species
CAAUAGCGUAUAUUAAAGUUGUUGCAGUUAAAAAGCUCGUAGUUGAAUUUUUGCUUGCCGCCGAUGUCGGAACUUCCGUACGUUCGGCGGCGUGCAUCCUUGGGUGGAACCUGUGUGGCAUUAGGUUGUCGUGCAGGGGAUGGCCAUCGUUUACUGUGAAAAAAUUAGAGUGUUCAAAGCAGGCUUAUGCCGUUGAAUAUAUUAGCAUGGAAUAAUGAUAUAGGACCUUGGUACUAUUUUGUUGGUUUGCGCACUGAGGUAAUGAUUAAUAGGGACAGUUGGGGGUAUUCGUAUUCCAUUGUCAGAGGUGAAAUUCUUGGAUUUUUGGAAGACGAACUACUGCGAAAGCAUUUACCAAGGAUGUUUUCAUUA